AGUUUUUUAGGGUAUAUGGGCAUCACCUCCCCACCUGUGCAGUUCUAAUCCCACCAACCCUGGCUGUUUCUGGAGCUUCCUGCAGGCAAUGGUCUAAGCCAUAGGAGAACUCAAAUGAUGGAAAAUCACAAGUAGGGUGUAGGACUCCCCACACUCCCAUGAACCCCUUCAGGCAUGGAAGGACAGACACCUCAGGAGGGGAUGGCUGGGGUGGGUAGCACAGGUAGGCUUGCAGGGGAAGAGAGGGGAUAUCUGUGUGUCCAAAAUCC
rnacentral:lncRNA from 1 species